AGUGCAAGUGAUGAUAAAAAGCCAGGGACAUCAGAUUCUCCGCAAGGAGAAGUAGAAUGAUGACUAAAGUCUAAAUGGGAAUCUCUCUGAUGCACU
rnacentral:snoRNA from 1 species